rnacentral:piRNA from 1 species
UGAAAUUAGUGGUGUUUGGACUUCUUCCUUU